rnacentral:rRNA from 1 species
AACGAACGCUGGCGGCAGGCCUAACACAUGCAAGUCGAGCGCACCUUCGGGUGAGCGGCGGACGGGUUAGUAACGCGUGGGAACGUGCCCUUCUCUAAGGAAUAGCCACUGGAAACGGUGAGUAAUACCUUAUACGCCCUUCGGGGGAAAGAUUUAUCGGAGAAGGAUCGGCCCGCGUUAGAUUAGAUAGUUGGUGGGGUAAUGGCCUACCAAGUCUACGAUCUAUAGCUGGUUUUAGAGGAUGAUCAGCAACACUGGGACUGAGACACGGCCCAGACUCCUACGGGAGGCAGCAGUGGGGAAUCUUAGACAAUGGGCGAAAGCCUGAUCUAGCCAUGCCGCGUGAGUGACGAAGGCCUUAGGGUCGUAAAGCUCUUUCGCCAGGGAUGAUAAUGACAGUACCUGGUAAAGAAACCCCGGCUAACUCCGUGCCAGCAGCCGCGGUAAUACGGAGGGGGUUAGCGUUGUUCGGAAUUACUGGGCGUAAAGCGUACGUAGGCGGAUUGGAAAGUAUGGGGUGAAAUCCCAGGGCUCAACCCUGGAACUGCCUCAUAAACUACCAGUCUAGAGUUCGAGAGAGGUGAGUGGAAUUCCGAGUGUAGAGGUGAAAUUCGUAGAUAUUCGGAGGAACACCAGUGGCGAAGGCGGCUCACUGGCUC